UCAUCCGGGAUCCCCUGAGG
rnacentral:miRNA from 1 species